GACGAACGCUGGCGGCGUGCUUAACACAUGCAAGUCGAACGGAAAGGCCCGGCUUUUGUGGGGUGCUCGAGUGGCGAACGGGUGAGUAACACGUGAGUAACCUGCCCUUGACUUUGGGAUAACUUCAGGAAACUGGGGCUAAUACCGGAUAGGAGCUCCUGCUGCAUGGUGGGGUUUGGAAAGUUUCGGCGGUUGGGGAUGGACUCGCGGCUUAUCAGCUUGUUGGUGGGGUAGUGGCUUACCAAGGCUUUGACGGGUAGCCGGCCUGAGAGGGUGACCGGCCACAUUGGGACUGAGAUACGGCCCAGACUCCUACGGGAGGCAGCAGUGGGGAAUAUUGCACAAUGGGCGGAAGCCUGAUGCAGCAACGCCGCGUGCGGGAUGACGGCCUUCGGGUUGUAAACCGCUUUCGCCUGUGACGAAGCGUGAGUGACGGUAAUGGGUAAAGAAGCACCGGCUAACUACGUG
rnacentral:rRNA from 1 species